rnacentral:rRNA from 1 species
GUGGGGAAUAUUGGGCAAUGGGCGAAAGCCUGACCCAGCAACGCCGCGUGAAGGAAGAAGGUCUUCGGAUCGUAAACUUCUAUCCUUGGUGAAGAUAAUGACGGUAGCCGAGAAGGAAGCCCCGGCUAACUACGUGCCAGCAGCCGCGGUAAUACGUAGGGGGCAAGCGUUGUCCGGAAUGAUUGGGCGUAAAGGGCGCGUAGGCGGCCUGGUAAGUCUGGAGUGAAAGUCCUGCUUUUAAGGUGGGAAUUGCUUUGGAUACUGUCGGGCUUGAGUGCAGGAGAGGUAAGUGGAAUGCCCGGUGUAGCGGUGAAAUGCGUAGAGAUCGGGAGGAACACCAGUGGCGAAGGCGACUUACUGGACUGUAACUGACGCUGAGGCGCGAAAGUGUGGGGAGCAAACAGGAUUAGAAACCCGAGUAGUCC